rnacentral:misc_RNA from 1 species
CUGUCAUGAACACGCUAACUGUACAAAUACACCUGGAUCCUACACCUGUACAUGCAAGUCUGGCUAUGCUGGAGAUGGAACGACUUGCACAGAGGGAGUGUGUUCUACUGAUGGGAAAGAAUGCCUCAAUGGGGGAAAAUGUGAAGCAAGCAAGCCUCCCACCACGUGUACUUGUGCAAGCGGUUACAAAGGAGCCACCUGUCAAAAUGCUGGGGGUACGGUGACAAUUUCAGCAUACCUGCUCUCUCUGACUGUUGUCACGUUCUUUGUCAUCCAGUAAACGACCAUUCCACGCUGACCACCAUACCCUGCUUGAAAUUGCGUUCUUGUUUGACAUGGGGAAUUCUGCUAUGUUUACAGCAAA